GCGGCUUUGCCCGCGGCUUAUUUUUGGCACCCCGAGGCCCCUCGCAAAGUCUCGCCCCAUUCCGAGUCCGGCGGACGAACUUCGCCCGCGCCCCCCACCAAUGCUAUAGCCCACCCGUUUUUUGGCCAUUUUUCCGCUGGGGGGUUUUGGCACCACGACCUUCGGGUGCUUAUUUUUGGGCGCGGCUUUGCCCGUGGCUUAUUUUUGGUGCCCUGAGGCCCCUCGCAAAGUCUCGUCCCAUUCCGAGUCCGGCGGACGAACUUCGCCCGCGCCCCCCACCAAGGCUAUAGCCCACCCGUUUUUUGGCCAUUUUUCCGCUGGGGGGUUUUGGCACCACGACUUUCGGGCGCUUAUUUCUGGACGCGGCAGUGCCCGCGACUUCCCGCGGGCACCCCGAGGCCCCUCGCAAAGUCUCGCCCCAUUCCGAGUCCGGCGGACGAACUUCGCCCGCGCCCCCCACCAAGGCUAUAGCCCACCCGUUUUUUGGCCAUUUUUCCGCUGGGGGGUUUUGGCACCACGACCUUCGGGCGCUUAUUUCUGGACGCGGCUGUGCCCGCGACUUCCCGCGGGCACCCCGAGGCCCCUCGCAAAGUCCCGCCCCAUUCCAAGUCCGGCAAACGAACUUCGCCCGUGCCCCCCACCAAGGCUAUAGCCCACCCGUUUUUUGGCCAUUUUUCCGCUGGGGGGUUUUGGCACCACGACCUUCGGGCGCUUAUUUUUGGGCGCGGCUUUGCCCGCGGCUUAUUUUUGGCACCCCGAGGCCCCUCGCAAAGUCUCGCCCCAUUCCGAGUCCGGCGGACGAACUUCGCCCGCGCCCCCCACCAAGGCUGUAGCCCACCCGUUUUUUGGCCAUUUUUCCGCUGGGGGGUUUUGGCACCACGACCUUUGGGCGCGGCUUUGCCCGCGGCUUAUUUUUGGCACCCCGAAGCCCCUCGCAAAGUCUCGCCCCAUUCCGAGUCCGGCGGACGAACUUCGCCCGCACCCCCCACCAAUGCUAUAGCCCACCCGUUUUUUGGCCAUUUUUCCGCUGGGGGGUUUUGGCACCACGACCUUCGGGCGCUUAUUUUUGGGCGCGGCUUUGCCCGUGGCUUAUUUUUGGUGCCCUGAGGCCCCUCGCAAAGUCUCGUCCCAUUCCGAGUCCGGCGGACGAACUUCGCCCGCGCCCCCCACCAAGGCUAUAGCCCACCCGUUUUUUGGCCAUUUUUCCGCUGGGCGGUUUUGGCACCACGACCUUCGGGCGCUUAUUUCUGGACGCGGCUGUGCCCGCGACUUCCCGCGGGCACCCCGAGGCCCCUCGCAAAGUCUCGCCCCAUUCCGAGUCCGGCGGACGAACUUCGCCCGCGCCUCCCACCAAGGCUAUAGCCCACCUGUUUUUUGGCCAUUUUUCCGCUGGGGGGUUUUGGCACCACGACCUUCCGGCGCUUAUUUCUGGACGCGGCUGUGCCCGCGACUUCCUGCGGGCACCCCGAGGCCCCUCGCAAAGUCUCGCCCCAUUCCGAGUCCGGCGGACGAACUUCGCCCGUGCCCCCCACCAAGGCUAUAGCCCACCCGUUUUUUGGCCAUUUUUCCGCUGGGGGGUUUUGGCACCACGACCUUCGGGCGCUUAUUUCUGGACGCGGCUGUGCCCGCGACUUCCCGCGGGCACCCCGAGGCCCCUCGGAAAGUCUCGCCCCAUUCCACGUCCAGCGGACGAACUUCGCCCGCGCCCCCCACCAAGGCUAUAGCCCACCCGUUUUUUGGCCAUUUUUCCGCUGGGGGGUUUUGGCACCACGACCUUCGGGCGCUUUUUUCUGGACGCGGCUGUGCCUGCGACUUCCCGCGGGCACCCCGAGGCCCCUCGCAAAGUCCCGCCCCAUUCCACGUCCGGCAAACGAACUUCGCCCGUGCCCCCCACCAAGGCUAUAGCCCACCCGUUUUUUGGCCAUUUUUCCGCUGGGGGGUUUUGGCACCACGACCUUCGGGCGCUUAUUUU
rnacentral:lncRNA from 1 species